AGAGGGAGGAGUUAAGGAGACAGACAGAGAGAGAGAGAGAUCUGAGGAGAAGAGGGAGAACCAAAAUGGAGGCUGACGUGGUGUUAUCAAAGGAUAUGUGCAAGAUGAGAGCCAGCCAUCGUCUCCUGAUAGUGGAGAUUUGAUCUGAAGCAUUCAAAUAGGAAAUGAAUGCUCAGAGGAAGCUUCAAAUUUCUUUCUACUUGAAGAAGCUGAAUUGCAGAAGCUAUCUCUGUCCUGUUAAUCACCGGGUCCACAGUGAAACCAGCCAACUUCAGAGAAGACUCUUGUGCUGCGUGACCCCUGACUGUAACCAAGUGUCCUUCUCUCUGAGACGUUCCCUCGGAGCUUGUUCUCACAGCCCUCACCUCCAGUGACCUCCACGAACUUUUCCACACGAGGGGUUCUCUGCUUCCCUCCAUCUGAGCUGCGCAAUUCCACCAGGCCUUUUGCUCCUCUUCAGUCAGGUGCUUUGGAGGUAAUGAAGUCUUUCGGGGGAAAAAUAAACAAAGGAAAUGCACCCGGUUGAUGUCAAUGGACUUGUUUAACUAUUUAAGGCCACUGUCUCCAAGUGUAAGUGUGCUGCGGUGUGUUUUGUAAAGUAGCGCUUAUAAUCCACUGAGCUUUCCAAACAGCCCUCUUGCCUAUUAAGCCUGCAUUGAGAAGUGGGUUUAAUUUGCCAGAGUAGUUUUUUGUGAUAAUUACAGGACUUGCAGAUUAGCUUGAGUGACUUGGCAAGGUUCUGUAGCUAAUAAAAAAUCACACAGGAAAAAAAUUGUAACAUUCAAUUGCUUCAAGGUUCUUCACGAGAGAAACAUUAAACAAACCUGAUAGGCCAGUUUCCAGUCUGUGAAGGGACUUGGAGGCAAGCCGGGAGAGAGGGAGGAGAAAGAGAUCGCCAUGAUGGGGAAGAAGGAAGAGGAGACCUAAAGGCCAGCUGACAUGUGAGAAUCAGGGAAAGUGGCCACACGGGCCACUUCCACAGCUGUGUUUGAGGACCAACGGUACUGUUGCUCUAGCUACAGGAAUAAUCCUGGGCAGCACUUGUUGACCUUGGUCACUGUCAAGGGAAGAUCGGCUGUUCCCACUGAGGGCAUCUUGAUGGAUUAAGGUGAUCAGCUGAUCAAUGUGAGGGGACAGAUGGGAGCUAGGAACUGUCUCGGUACUGAGUCAUUUUUCAUCUAAUGUGCAAGAAACCCAAAGAGCACAUCAAACAGCGAACUACGCCUAAGCUAUCCAUGUUUCUCCUGCUUCUUCUGAGAGGGUGAUUUACACGUAGCUCAACACUCGAGUGUUGCAGUAUCGAGUGACUGCAACCAAACAAUGGAACAUGCAUCGUGCCUGUUGACAGAGCCUGCAGUUGGCUUGGAACCGGGACCAUGCUGCAUUCGACAUCGUUCCUGGUGGCUGACUUGUUCCCAUAGAAUUAAAUGCUAGGCAUCCAGAAGCUGACUGUGCAUCUGAUGGGCUCACUAACAUUCAGGAACAGGUUGGCCUCAGACUUCAUCAAUGGAAAGAGCCACCUAGAACAUGGAUGCAAGCUGGAACUUUGACGUUGUCUUGGGGAUAAAAGUUAAACAAAGAAGUGGAUUCUUCAGUCCUGACGCGUAAGUCACUGAGAGGAUGAGCUCGUUCCCUCUCCUGAAAGACAUCUUCCUGUUACAGCAGCCAGCUUUGCCAGCUCCCUGAACGUUCUGCUGCCUCCUUGCCCAGAACA
rnacentral:lncRNA from 1 species